UCCUGUUUCCAGCCCUAAAUCCGGUCAGGAUUCAGCGUUCGAGCUACAAGUUGUGUCGUCGCUAGGUUCGAGGACAUUGGAGCUCCAGCCACAAUGAUUGAGGUGGUUUGCAACGACCGUCUAGGAAAGAAAGUCCGCGUUAAGUGCAACACCGAUGACACCAUCGGCGACCUGAAGAAACUGAUAGCGGCUCAAACUGGCACCCGCUGGAAUAAGAUCGUUCUUAAAAAGUGGUAAGUACGCGCUGGUCAGUAUCAGGCUAGAGGGCGUUCGUUGGAGCGAGCACCUCAAGACAAUCCCGAAGAGCUUGUUUUCAGGACAAAAAACACCCCACCCCUUAUCAGCUUCUCUCUGAAAGCUAUCUAUCCCGUAGGUACACGAUUUUUAAAGACCACGUGUCUCUGGGAGACUGUAUCCUUUCAAGAAAGAAUUCACGUAUUUAUCUCAAGUUCUGGUUCUGUGCUGAAACCUGUACAGAAAUUAAGCAAGAGGGAUGCUUAACUUAGAAUAUGCCCCAUUAUGACUACUGAGAAAAUGGAAACUGUGGAAAUUAUUUUGCUGGUGAGAAGGAUCGUUGGCGAAAUAUACUUGGUUCAAAAUACUU
rnacentral:lncRNA from 1 species